rnacentral:rRNA from 1 species
CGCGUAGGAAUCUGUCUAUUAGUCUGGGACAACUCGGGGGAACGUCGAGCUAAUACUGGAUAAGCUCUACGGAGGAAAGGUAGGGAGCUUGCUCCUAUCACUAAUAGGUGAGCCUGCGUUGGAUUAGCUUGUUGGUAGGGUAAAGGCCUACCAAGGCGACGAUCCAUAGCUGUUCUGAGAGGAAGAUCAGCCACACUGGGACUGAGACACGGCCCAGACUCCUACGGGAGGCAGCAGUGGGGAAGUAUUGGACAAUGGGGGCGAACCCUCGAUCCAGCAAUACCGCGUGUGUGAAGAAGG